rnacentral:rRNA from 1 species
GACCACAGUGUCGCAUGGCACAGGGGUCAAAGGAUUUAUCCGACUGAAAGAUGGGCUCGCGUCCCGAUUAGCUAGAUGGUGAGGUAACGGCCCACCAUGGCGACGAUCGGUAGCCGGACUGAGAGGUUGAACGGCCACAUUGGGACUGAGACACGGCCCAGACUCCUACGGGAGGCAGCAUG